GAAAGCCUGACGGAGCAAGACCGCGUGGGGGAAGAAGGUCUGUGGAUUGUAAACCUCUUUUGACCGGGAAGAAGCCUGACGGUACCGGUCGAAUCAGCCUCGGCUAACUCCGUGCCAGCAGCCGCGGUAAUACGGAGGAGGCAAGCGUUAUCCGGAAUUAUUGGGCGUAAAGCGUCCGCAGGUGGUUUAUCAAGUCAGCUGUUAAAGGGUGGGGCUUAACUCCAUAAAGGCAGUUGAAACUGAUAGGCUAGAGUGCGAUAGGGGCAAGGGGAAUUCCCAGUGUAGCGGUGAAAUGCGUAGAUAUUGGGAAGAACACCGGUGGCGAAAGCGCCUUGCUGGGUCUGCACUGACACUGAGGGACGAAAGCUAGGGGA
rnacentral:rRNA from 1 species